rnacentral:lncRNA from 1 species
CCCACCAGCCCCUUCCUCUUCACUUUCUGGACUCUGGUAUGGUAAAUUUUUCUUUAUAUCUCACUCCUAUCCAGUAUACAUACACGGCUGGACCUCCCUGACACAUUGUUUCAACUUACGGCUCUGGCUAUAAAGAUGAGGAAACACUCACUCUUCCAAUGCAAUAGGAACAAACGGUGUAAAAGGUGAAAGAACAGCUGUUGUAGGUCACAUGGAAAGAACAUGAUGGAGUGACAAAAAAUAAACUUUGCUAGAAAAGCCAAGUGGUAUUUAAGUCUUUGGGAAUGCCUUAUGUGAAGGGAAGGAAGUCAGCCAUCUGUCAUAUUUCAUCUAAUCAAUGUCUCUGAACGUUAUCACUAAUGUUACCUGUGUGGUAUGCACAGGCAAGGGC